rnacentral:lncRNA from 1 species
AGCCUGCUGAUGCCAAUGCUGCAGCUGCUGCUGCCCCCGUGGCUGCCCCGCCCAUAGCCCCUGCUCGUUCCACCACUGCUGCGGCUGCGCAGGCGCCCACCUCGCUGCCCAUCUCUGCUCCUGCCUCCACCACCUCAGCCGCAGACAUCGACCUUUUCGGAGAUGCGUUUGCACCUUCCCCAGGAGAUGGUCCUGCUGCCGUGGCCGCGGGCCCUGCUGCUGAUGCAUUUGGUGGAUCUGACCCCUUCGCUACGACGGAGGGGAGUGCGGACAUUGCUC